rnacentral:rRNA from 1 species
AACGGGUGGAGUAACGCGUAGGUAACCUGCCUUGUAGCGGGGGAGUAACUAUUGGAAACGAUAGCUAAUACCGCAUAACAAUGGAUGACACAUGUCAUUUAUUUUGUAAAGGGGACGAAUUGCUCCACUACAAGAUGGACCUGCGUUGUAUUAGCUAGUAGGUGAGGUAAUGGCUCACCUAGGCGACGAUACAUAGCCGACCUGAGAGGGUGAUCGGCCACACUGGGACUGAGACACGGCCCAGACUCCUACGGGAGGCAGCAGUAGGGAAUCUUCGGCAAUGGGGGCAACCCUGACCGAGCAACGCCGCGUGAGUGAAGA